UACGUAGGGGGCGAGCGUUGUCCGGAUUUAUUGGGCGUAAAGAGCUCGUAGGCGGUUUGUCGCGUCUGCUGUGAAAACUCGGGGCUUAACCCCGGGCCUGCAGUGGGUACGGGCAGACUAGAGUGCAGUAGGGGAGACUGGAAUUCCUGGUGUAGCGGUGAAAUGCGCAGAUAUCAGGAGGAACACCGGUGGCGAAGGCGGGUCUCUGGGCCGUAACUGACGCUGAGGAGCGAAAGCGUGGGGAGCGAACAGG
rnacentral:rRNA from 1 species